GGCACAACACUGAUGUCCAUUGAUGAAACGGAUGCCUAAUGACAGAAACAAAGACAGUUUCAAUCUUCCGAGGUAAUAGGAGUAAAUAAUCGAUGAAUAGGGAAGCAUACUAGUGAUGAAACAACAUGCAUACUGAUUAUUGUGAACUAAAGAGCUGGCAUUUAUAUAAGAAUCUUACACUAUGGUUUAGGUCCUUUAAGAAGUUGUUGUUGUAGUUAGCUCCUGAGGAGAAGCCAUAGUUGAUACCCAACUGAAAGUUGUGUUGGCUUUGUUGAAGGUGACUUGUUGAUUCUUCAACUUGAAGUGGCACAACUCCAUCUCCUCCAAAGCUCCUCUGGUAGUGACUGUACUGAUGAUCUUCAAAUUGGUUGUCCAUGCUGGAGCUGUAAUCCACAAGAUCAAGGUACUCAACACCAAACAAGAACCCAUUGUUCUGAUUACCGCUGUUUUUCCCUGGAUUAGGCAGUAACCACGAAGCCACCUCUCGGUCAUCCUCAUCGUUAUCUGCAUCAGUUUCGCUUGCAGCCAUGGAGCUGCAAGAGUUUGCAGAUAAUGGCAGAAUCGGAACUCGUUGAUGACGUCUAGCUAGUGGGUUUGCGG
rnacentral:lncRNA from 1 species